rnacentral:rRNA from 1 species
AACGAACGCUGGCGGCGUGGUUCAGGCAUGCAAGUCGAACGAUUCGCCAUAGCAAUAUGGCGAAUAGUGGCAGAAGGGUUAGUAACACGUGGGUAAUCUACCCUCGACUCGGGGAUAACAUUUCGAAAGAAAUGCUAAUACCCGAUGAAAUUCCUUGGUCGCAUGAUCGAGGAAUCAAAGGUGGCGCAAGCUGCCGAUUGAGGAGGAGCCCGCGGCCUANCAGCUAGUUGGUGAGGUAACGGCCCACCAAGGCUUUUGACGGGUAGCUGGUCUAAGAGGACGAUCAGCAACAUUGGGACUGAGACACUGCCCAGACUCCUACGGGAGGCUGCAGUCGAGGAUCUUUAGCAAUGCCCGAAAGGGUGACUAUGCGACGCCGCGUGCA